AGCGAACGCUGGCGGCAUGCUUAACACAUGCAAGUCGCACGAGGGUUUCGGCCCUAGUGGCGGACGGGUGAGUAACGCGUAGGUAUCUAUCCAUGGGUGGGGGAUAACUUUGGGAAACUGGAGCUAAUACCGCAUGACACCUGAGGGUCAAAGGCGCGAGUCGCCUGUGGAGGAGCCUGCGUUCGAUUAGCUAGUUGGUGGGGUAAAGGCCUACCAAGGCGAUGAUCGAUAGCUGGUUUGAGAGGAUGAUCAGCCACACUGGGACUGAGACACGGCCCAG
rnacentral:rRNA from 1 species